AUGAGAGAUCCUGGCCAGACUCAGAAGUCUUCUCCUUCCAGGCCUCGUUCUCCAGAGAGGCCGAGCUGGAAGCAGAUUCCUGGCCCUAAGGCCAGCACUCUUGCCUCUGUGGUGCAGGACACCCGAGUGACAAAUCCCAUUUGCCUAAUGAGGAAACAGCGUCAUCUAGUGGCGAUUUAUCCUUUUUCUAGGAAAUGCUUUUUUAUGAGGGGCAUGCUUAACUGGAAUCCCUGGCACGAUGGCUUCAGAAAGACUGGAAGUGACCUGGAGACAGAAGCACCACUGAUGACAAAAGGUGAGUAUGUUGGGCAAUGUUGGACAGAGAUCUGGGCUAGGAAGAUCAGAUGCACCUCAGGAGGAGGCCGGUCUCACCUUGAAACUCGAGAAGAACUCCAGGGGUCGUGCCACCAUUCGAAAAGACCCCGAUGUCCCCGUCCACUCGAGAUAAGGCCUCAUCCCCCAGAGACUGUGAGUGUCUCACUGAACAAUUUCUGAACCCAAUCUUAAUGGUCUCUGACCUAGAGACUCAGCCUCAUUGGUGAAACUUCAUAGAAGAUACUGCCAAGAAUAUCUGAAGGACACCUGUAGUGAGCUUCUUGGGGAAAUGUUUUCUAUUAUUGACCUGUCAGAUUUUCACAGCUGUAUCUAAGAUACAGAUUCUGUUGAUGAAAGAUUCCAUAUGUUCAGUGGAAGGCUUUGCAGAAGGAGUCAGAACAACUGACCCUGGCUGUGCCGCUGAUGAGGUCCUCCAACUUCCAAUCUGUGGUUACUUCCAAAUCUAUUAUCCUACAAUUAUUCAGAAAUCAAACAGUAUAUCGUGAUGAAGCAUGCUGGCAAAAGACAGAUCCAUGUGGACUUGUACAACCCUGCUAAAAUCAAUUAUUAAUGAAGUCUUUGGCUUGCAGGCUCUGUAUACAGGGAUUGGUCUGGUGCCCAAGAUGUGAUCAUCUGUACCCAUGUACAAAUCAAGGCUAUUGUGAUCAAUAGAGCCUUGUUAAACAUUACUGAAGGAGUGGACAAACAGCACAAAAUUAAUAACCUAUUACCCGUGCUACUGUUUUUCUCUUGAUCCAAAAUGUCCCUUUUCCCUUGUGCUUGCAGUACAUGAUUGCACUAAACAUAUUCUGAUUCAUUUAGCUCUAAAAUCCAGCACUAUUUAUUUAUUUAUGUAAAAAUUCAGAGAGAGAGAGAGAGUCAUUUCACACUGAUUUCCUAAACUGGACCCACUAAAAUUAUAAUGAGAGUUUAGCCAACAUGAGUAAAUUGGAAAGCCUGACAUUUUAGUUAAGACCUAGAAAUGCUAACUAAACUGCUUAUGAGCUUCUUGUGAAAGCAAUUAUUUGAGUAAAAACAUCAUGUAUUUUGAUAUUUGUUUAGUCAGAAAAAUCACCAUCAACUAAUACUACAAAAAAUUCUCACAUUAGGUGUUCUGUAUUCAGUCACAGACAGCUGAGGAUUAACUUGGACCAGCCUUCACAGUAGACUCUCAUUCAUCAGGACUCCUCAAUAUGAAUAUGUGGUUAUUUUACUGCAGUUAAGAUACUGUUAACUUAGCACCACGGGCUCUCUGCAUCCAUGGAUGCAGAACUCGUGGAUAAGGAGAACUGGCUGUAUUGCACCAUUUUACACAAAGGAUAUGAGCAUCCCUGAGUAUUGGUGUCCAUGGGGUAUGCUGGAGCUAAUCCCCCAUGGAUACUGAGGGAUAACUGUCCAACUAAGUGCCCAGCUAAUAAGAGUAACAGCUAACCAAACUAGAGGGCUUACUUCUAUCAGGCCCUGGUCUACCAUCUUUACAUUAUUACCUCAUUUAAUCCUUAUAAUAACCCUGUGAGAUGCAUUCUACUACACUAUACACAUGUGAAAAUUGAAAGCAUAUUGUCUCAUAAAUAGGAAAUCCAGCCAGCCUAGUUCCAGAACCACAGAAUUACUCCACGUGCCUCUGUUAUGUGCACCUCAACUGUUUUUGUAAGGAGUCCAUUAUAAGUGAAUCUUGGCAUAAUUAGAGAUAUAGAGGAUGUAUUCCUUUUUACUACCAGAAGCAGAGGAUCUUGAUGUUGAAAGGUUCUGCCAAGACUGUCCAGUUCUAUCCCUAUGGAAUCUGCCAAUGGGAGCAGCCACCCUCUCUGCUCACUCCCAGAGAAAGGGAGUCACCACACCUUGUAGCAGUCCCCUCCCACUUCAGAGAGCCUAGACCACUGGAAGGCUUCCUUUCCUUAAGGCCAAAGGUACUUUUCUAUAAAUCCACCUGCUGCCCAGAACUCUGCUGUCUGAAGCCAAGGUAGCAACGUAUAUCCCCUUCUUCUCCCAGUAGGGCCAGCAAACAUCUGGAAGAGUAACUGUGCACCAGCCCAGAUGGCAUCCUUCCUUCCCACCUUCUUGCUCAGCACUCAGGAUCCACUAUUUCAAGUUCUCCUUCUCAUUCAAUCAUCCUUCUCAUUCAAGUUUUCUCCAAUCAUCCUCUCAUUCCACAGUGGGCUUUCUAAGUUUGGGGCAAAUUCCAUUUGAACUGUGUGUGUCUGUGUGUGUGUGUGUGUGUGCUCAGUUGUAUCCAACUCUUUGCAACCCUGUGGACUGUAGCCCUCCAGGCUCCUCUGUCCAUAGGAUUUCCCAGUUAAGAAUACUGGGGUGGGUUUCCGAUUCUGUAAGGCCUGGCAACAAAGACAGUUGUAAGAAAGCCUGAAGAUGCCAUGGUGAUCUCCCCGAGACACCCCUGCACGCCAUUAGGACCCCCAACAGUUCACUCACAACUGGCUUGUAGCCCACCGCAAGUCCAGAAGGACAGUUUUUCCCUAUGAAGUUCAUUAAAUCAAAUCUUCCCCAUUGUAUACUUUUUGCUACUUUCUUAAACAUAAACUUAGUAUUUAAUAUUUUUCACUAAUGAGUUGGACCCCUCCGCAAGUCCACAGACAGAGAGAAAUAGAGAUUAUUUGGUAUUCAUUCCACUCCACAGAUUAUUUCUAUGGACAGUAAAGAAAUUCAAAAGGCCUGUUAAUUAGCUCACUAGACAUGAGUUAUUUUAGAAGAAAAAAGAGGGGGAAAAGAUGAUAUUAGCACAGAGCUAAGAUAAAAUAUAAAAAUAUUUUAUACUCUAAAAUACAUAAAAGCCAAACCAAAAAAAAAAACAAAGAGAAAGCUUCAAGAGUGUUCAUCCAGGGGCCACUGCUUCCCUUGAUGGAAAAGUUACCAAUCAAAUGCUUUAAUUUCAUUUACUGAAGCAAGAGUCAGGCCAAACGUCAUAGAGGCUGUUUGUGGCAUGUGGGUCAUUGUUUCGUCACAUAUGACACUGUUUUCAUGAACAACCGGUUGAACCUGGGGAAACUUACUAAUUGACUCUGUCAGUUUCAGCCAAAAUUCUAACCAAAAGGCAAAGCAGAACAAUAGGUUUAAAGUGAAUAAAGGAUUCCUUCAUAAUAUCCA
ensembl:lncRNA